rnacentral:tRNA from 1 species
GUUAUAAUAGUUUAAUUGUAAAAACUUUGGUCUUGUAAACCAAUAUUAGACUAUAAGUCUUUAUAACU